rnacentral:rRNA from 1 species
UACAGAGGCCUCGAGCGUUGUUCGGAAUUACUGGGCGUAAAGGGAACGUAGGUGGUGACGUAAGUCAGAUGUGAAAGCCCUGGGCUUAACCUGGGAAGUGCAUUUGAUACUGCGUUGCUUGAGUACAAAAGAGGAAAGCGGAAUUCCCAGUGUAGGAGUGAAAUCCGUAGAUAUUGGGAGGAAUACCGAUGGCGAAGGCAGCUUUCUGGUUUGUAACUGACACUGAGGUUCGAAAGCGUGGGUAGCAAACAGG